GUGUUGCUUCCUAAUGUCUCCCGUACCUUAGAACUGAUGACGUGUCUGUAUCCACAGAGGUGCCGUGGGGCAGCAGUGGUACUGUGGAUGAAAGUCUACCUUGAGCAGCCUGAACUCGCCCAACUUAGUCCCGUCUGACAACUAAAUGGAGCGAGGUAGAUAAGCUUCUUGACAGACGAGGCUGUUGCGUUCAUCAUUCGUCAAUUGAUUGAACAGUUCAUGGAAAGUACAGAACCUGUAAGUAGUGUUAGAUGGCCUGAGAAAUUUCUACGAAAGUGUCUUCUAUGUGAACGUUCUAAAGUCACCGAAGUUGUUUGAUCUGAGGGGGGAGCUAGUUGACCUCCUGGACAAGGUCUAAGAUUGCAGAACUACAGUUUCAACUCCCGACGUCACCUUAUUUAAGCGUAGAUGAACUACCCAGAAUGAACUACCUGAUGAACUCUUUUAAGAGACUGUUCUCU
rnacentral:lncRNA from 1 species